GACGCACGCUGGCGGCGUGCUUAACACAUGCAAGUCGAACGAAGUGGCGAACGGGUGAGUAACGCGUAAUCAACCUGCCCUUCAGAGGGGGACAACAGUUGGAAACGACUGCUAAUACCGCAUACUGAAGGAGGGGCUCGUGUGUGAUUAGGUAGUUGGAGGGGUAACGGCCCACCAAGGCCAAGAUCAGUAGCCGGGCUGGGUUGGUGAGCUGCCACAUUGGGACUGAGACGCGGCCCAGACUCCUACGGGAGGCAGCAAUGGGGAAUCUUGCGCAAUGGACGAAAGUCGUACGGAGCAACGCCGCGGGAGUGAUGACGGCCUUCGGGUUGUAAAGGUCUGUUAAGCGGGACGCGGUACCGGAAUAGAAAGCCACGGCUAACUACGUGCCAGCCGCCGCGGUAAUAC
rnacentral:rRNA from 1 species